UACGGAGGGUGCGAGCGUUGUCCGGAAUCAUUGGGCGUAAAGGGCGCGUAGGUGGCCCGGUCAGUCCGUGGUGAAAGCGCGGGGCUCAACCCCGCGUCGGCCAUGGAUACUGCUGGGCUGGAGCACUGUAGAGGCAGGCGGAAUUCCGGGUGUAGCGGUGGAAUGCGUAGAGAUCCGGAAGAACACCGGAGGCGAAGGCGGCUUGCUGGGCUCGGUCUGACGCUGAGGCGCGAAAGCUAGGGGAGCGAACGGG
rnacentral:rRNA from 1 species